CUUCAUAAGCAGAAAAAAUUAUAAGAUAAACAGAAGAAUCUAGUAGUUAGAGUUGAGUGUUGGGGAAGCACUGAACUUAAGCCCCAGUAAACGGCGGCCGUAACUAUAACGGUCCUAAGGUAGCGAAAUUCCUUGUCGGGUAAGUUCCGACCCGCACGAAAGGCGUAACGAUUUGGGCACUGUCUCAACAAUAGACUCGGUGAAAUUGUAGUACCAGUGAAGAUGCUGGUUACCCGCAGCAGGACGGAAAGACCCCGUGGAGCUUUACUGCAGCCUGACACUGGAUUUUGGUAUUGCAUGUACAGGAUAGGUGGGAGACUUGGAAGCUUGGACGCCAGUCUAGGUGGAGUCAACCUUGGGAUACCACUCUUGUAAUACUGGAGUUCUAACCAUAAGCCGUGAAUCCGGCUUUGGGACACUGUCAGGUGGGCAGUUUGACUGGGGCGGUCGCCUCCCAAAAAGUAACGGAGGCGCCCAAAGGUUCCCUCAGCGCGGUUGGAAAUCGCGCGUAGAGUGUAAAGGCAGAAGGGAGCUUGAUUGCGAGACGUACAGGUCGAGCAAGGACGAAAGUCGGGCUUAGUGAUCCGGUGGUUCCGAGUGGAAGGGCCAUCGCUCAACGGAUAAAAGCUACCCCGGGGAUAACAGGCUUAUCUCCCCCAAGAGUCCACAUCGACGGGGAGGUUUGGCACCUCGAUGUCGGCUCGUCUCAUCCU
rnacentral:ncRNA from 1 species